CAAACGCUGAUUAGGGAUUCCAUUCCCUAUUCUUUUUUUCUUUUCCAUUUUCUGCCCUCAAGCUUCAACAAUCUUCUCCUACGUUUCCCUUCCAUUGAUUCAUCAGCUUGACAGGUGAUUACUAGUUUCAAAGCAGCUCGCACUUCCUUGUUCAUUUUACAGACUUGGCAUCCAUGGUUUUUUCAGGUUGAAACCUUGCUCCCCUUUGGUGGUGUAUUACCAAACUUCCAGUGUAAUUGACUAAAUCAAUCAGGUAAAACAUCACCUGCUACCACAUUUUAAUUUGUUCCGCAUCAGAAAUUCCUUUCAAAUCUUCUGCUGUGAUCUUUACUUUUACUAAAUCAGUGUUACUAUCCUUAG